rnacentral:tRNA from 1 species
GUUCCCGAGUGGCCAAAGGGAUCAGACUGUAAAUCUGACGCGCAAGCUUCGGUGGUUCGAAUCCACCCCCCAC